AGACCUCAUCACCGGUAAUAAUCACUAGUACAAGAAUCCCCAACCUUUGCUAACCAAACCUAACUGUCUGCCUUUUUUUGCCAACUCCAAAUUUGCUACACAAGCAACCCUUAAAACCCAUGAGUUUUACAGCUUCUAUCUACCUCCACUGCCACAAGCUGACCUUAGCUACCGUCACUAUUGUCUUUUUCACUGCUAACCUUAUCAGAUUCAAUCAUUGCCACUUCCGAAUCAUGGCCACCAGUCGUCAGCGGCACCAAACCUUCAAAGUCAGGUCAUUUACAAUUUUUCUACUGCUUAUAUCUUUAAUUUGAGGAAACAAUGAUGAAUAUAGACUAUUAGGGUUCAUAUUUUCUCCUUAAGUUUGAAGAUAUUCGAGAUUUUGAUGGUAAUCCUAACGAUAUUUUUGACUAGAUUUGCAUGAUUGAUUAUUUUCUUGUGUCAUACCAAAAGUUGUUCUCUCUCGUACAUCAUAUAAGUGUACAGGAGAUGCUUUAGAUUGGUAGGAACAACUACAUGAAUCACAGAUUCGACAAGGAUAAGAUAAAAUCAAAGAAUGGUUUGAUAUGAGACAAUUGAUAGAAGACCAUUUUGUUCAUUGUGAUGAUGUUAAGUCAUCUCUUUUUACACCAAUAAAAGUAAAAGAUGACAAGAUUGUUGAUCUAUUUGAGAUUUUUAAAGAAGAGGUACAAACUACUUUGAUUUGAGCAUUGAGCCUAAUAGUACAAUCAAGUUUGUGAGCAAAAUCAAGUUGAAGAGACCCUAGUAAUGAUUGACUUGAUUAUGCCUAUCCACGUUUAAGACAAGAAGGUUACUCUUGAAGAAGAUUUGGUUGCAAAGAUAAAGUUAAU
rnacentral:lncRNA from 1 species